UUCACGGCGUGCACGGGAUUCUGCCUACACACCAACCGACCGAGCUGGGCGGUAGGUAAUAGGUCCGUUAAAACCCCUCAUCUACCGUUCCUUUUUUGUGAGGGGUGGGUUUCGAGGUACAUGGCGAGAACAACAGCUGAUCAGAGCCCAGGUGACGCCCACUCGCUAGAAUCCGGCGGCGGCGGCGGCAUCAUCAUCAUCCAGCGACGACGUCCACGAGACAGACGAAGAUGAACCAGGCCUUUCUGAUCAAACGGCCCCGUCUGUUAAAGCUCUGGCCUUCCUGCGGCGGACACCGAGACGAGACGGCGGACGACGUGUUUUCAUUCCUGUCGGGGGUUUUGUUUUUUUUCCCUUUCUUCUCUUUCUUUUAUACGUCGCCGGCGUCUGUGUAUCAGCGGGUCACAUCUCACAGCUCUUUGUGUUCGCCACCGGGUCGUGAACUGUACCUGGGUCGUGAACUGUACCUGGGUCGUGAACUGUACCUGCACCUGAGUGUCGCGGGUUCAUGGCCCCUGAAUCCUGAGACGCAGCAUUUCACCGUGAGUGAAGUACGGGGACACGAGCUCGACGUGCAGCAACAGCUCCUCACGUCGUCUACUGUAAAUUCACAGAUUGAAACAAGUAGUUGAUUAAUCGAUCAAUCAGAAAAGGAUACAGCGAGAAUUAUGAUAAUGAUAAUCCCACAUUUCAAAGCUCAAUAAAGGAUUAUCUUAUCCUAUCAUAAAGAAAUAAUGAUUCACGUGGUUUUUCAAUCAAAAAUAUUGAUUUUCUCAGGUUCUGGUUUUUCAAAUUUGAUGCUUUUCUUUCCCAUAUAUGACUGUAAACUAAUAUUUUAGAUCUUUGGCCGAAGACGAAGUUUGUCUGAUGAAAUCUGUCAUUUAAGGCUCCAGGGAAAAUAUAUUGGCAAUUUAAAAUCAAUCGAGAAAUCAUAGAUUAAUCAAAAAAAAAGUAAGUUGCAGCCUAAAAUGUA